GAUGAAGAACGUAGCGAAAUGCGAUAAGUAGUGUGAAUUGCAGAAUUCAGUGAAUCAUCGAAUCCUUGAACGCACAUUGCGCCCCUUGGUAUCCCGAGGGGCAUGCCUGUUCGAGCGUCAUUUCACCACUCAAGCCUGGCUUGGUGUUGGGCGACGUCCCCUUUGGGGACGCGCCUUGAAACGCUCGGCGGCGUGGCACCGGCUUUAAGCGUAGCAGAAUCUUUCGCUUUGGAAGUCGGGGCCCCGUCUGCCGGAAGACCUACUCGCAAGGUUGACCUCGGAUCAGGCAGGGAUACCCGCUGAACUUAAGCAUAUCAAUAAGCGGAGGA
rnacentral:misc_RNA from 1 species